rnacentral:ncRNA from 1 species
UUAAAGUUUGAUUCUUGAUUUAAAAAAUUUUUAAAAUUAUAAAAUGCAUGUAAAUUUUUUUUAGAUUUUAUUUUCUAAAAGAUUAAAAUUUUAAUUUCAGUGUUUAGUUUUUUAUGUAUUAUUAAUUUAAAUUAAGUAAUAUUUUUAAGAACCAAAAAAUGUUGUGCCAGCAUUUGCGGUUAAACAUCAGGUUCAAAAAAUUUUUUUUUGGAUUUCAGAUUUUUUAUAAAAAUUAACUAUAUUUAGGUGAAAUUUAUAUAGUUUAUAAAAAUUUUUUUCUGUAGAAUUUUGUUUAUAAACCAGGAUUAGAUACCCUGUUAUUCAAUUGAUUAUUAUUUUCCAAGGUAUUAAAAUUUAUAAUUUGAAAUUUAAUGGAUCUGGCGGUUUUUAAAUCUUUUUAGAGGAACCUGUUAUUUAAAUGAUAAUCCACGAUAAACUUUACCUUAAUUUUCUUGUAUAUCGCUGUCGUUGAAUGUAAUGAAAAUUAAAUUUUCUGUUUCUUUUAAUGAAUUAUGUUAGGUCAACAUGCAGUUAUAUUAAGGUUAUAAUGGGUUACAUUAAUUUAUGUUUUUUGAUUUUUAAUUUUAAUUUAAAUUGAAUUUGGAUUUAAAAGUAAUUUUAUUUAUUUAAUAAGUUGAAUUUAAAUUUAAGCUCUUAAAAAUGUACAUAUCGCCCGUCACUCUCAAUAAAUUGAGAUAAGUCGUAACAAAGUAGAUGUACUGGAAAGUGUAUCUAGAAA